GACGAACGCUGGCGGCGUGCUUAACACAUGCAAGUCGAACGGAAAGGCCCUUCGGGGUACUCGAGCGGCGAACGGGUGCGUAACACGUGGGUGAUCUGCCCUGCACCUUGGGAUAAGCCUGGGAUACUGGGUCUAAUACCGAUUAUGAAUAUCGGCUUCAUGGUCGGUGGUGGAAAGCUUUUGCGGUGUGGGAUGGUCCCGCGGCCUAUCAGCUUGUUGGUGGGGUAAUGGCCUACCAAGGCGACGACGGGUAGCCGGCCUGAGAGGGUGACCGGCCACACUGGGACUGAGAUACGGCCCAGACUCCUACGGGAGGCAGCAGUGGGGAAUAUUGCACAAUGGGCGCAAGCCUGAUGCAGCAACGCCGCGUGAGGGAUGACGGCCUUCGGGUUGUAAACCGCUUUCAGCACAGACGAAGCGCAAGUGACGGUAUGUGCAGAAGAAGCACCGGCCAACUACGUG
rnacentral:rRNA from 1 species